ACCCAUUGAUCCUGCGGGAGAUUGCUGCUAUUCGGAUUCGACUUAGCCAUGCAAGUCAAGGGGGCUCUUCGGAGCAACCGGCAAAAUGCUGAGUAACACGUUGUUAAUCUGCCCAUUAGUCUGGAAUAGCCUUGGGAAACUGAGGGUAAUGCCGGAUAAAAUAUACAAUCUGGAAUGAUGUAUAUUACAAAGAUUACGCUAAUGGAUGAGACAGCGGCUGAUUAGGUAGUUGGUAGGGUAAUGGCCUACCAAGCCUGUGAUCAGUAGGGGCCAUGAAAGUGGUAGCCCCCAGAAGGACACUGAGAUACUGGUCCUAGCCCUACGGGGUGCAGCAGGCGCGGAACCUUUACAAUGCACGAAAGUGUGAUAAGGGGAUCCGAAGUGCUUAUGGAAACAUAGGCUUUUUUUAAGAGUAAAUACCUUAGAGAAUAAGUGGUGGGCAAGACUGGUGCCAGCAGCCGCGGUAACACCAGCGCCACGAGUGGCAAUCGCAUAUUGGGCCUAAAGCGUCCGUAGUUAGUUUGAUAAGUUUCUUGUGAAAUUGUUCUGCUCAACAGAACAGCGUGCAGGGAAAACUGUCUUACUAGGAACCGGGAGGAGUUAGGAGUAUUUUGGGGGGAGCGGUAAAAUGUUAUAAUCCCCGAAGGACUACCUGUGGCGAAGGCGCCUAACUAGAACGGAUUCGACAAUGAGGGACGAAGGCCAGGGGAGCAAACGGGAUUAGAUACCCGAGUAGUCCUGGCAGUAAACUCUGCGAGCUAGGUGUUGCGUGUUCUAUUGGAACAUGCAGUAUCGAAGCGAAGGCGAUAAGCUCGCCGCCUGGGAAGUACGGUCGCAAGACUGAAACUUAAAGGAAUUGGCGGGGGAGCACCACAACGGGUGCGGCGUGCGGUUUAAUCUAACUCCACACAGAGAAUCUCACCAGAGGCGACGGCAGGAUGAUGAUCGCGUUUAAGACGCUAUCGGACGAGCCGAGAGGUAGUGCAUGGCCGUCGUAAGCUCGUGCCGUAAGGUGUCCUGUUAAGUCAGGCAACGAGCGAGACCUACGCCUACAAUUGGUAACAGCAACCACGGUUGGACUGAUCACAUUGUAGGGACUGCGUGUGAAAACACGAGGAAGGUGUAGGCAACGGUAGGUCUGUAUGCUCCGAAUCCUUUGGGCUACAUGCGCGCAACAAUGGCUGUGACAAUGGGAUGCUACUCCGAAAGGAGACGCUAAUCCUUCAAACGCAGUCUUAGUACAGAUUGAGGGUUGUAACUCACCCUCAUGACGCUGGAAUCCGUAGUAAUCAGACUUCAUCAGAGUCCGGUGAAUACGUCCCUGCUCCUUGCACACACCGCCCGUCAAACCACUCGAGUGGAGUUUACGUGAGCGCUAGUUUUUUGACUAAUUCGAACGUAGGCUUCAUGAGAAGGGUUAAGUCGUCACAAGGUA
rnacentral:rRNA from 1 species